rnacentral:rRNA from 1 species
GGCGACCAUAGCGGAGGGGCCACACCUGGACUCGUCUCGAUCCCAGAAGUAAAGUCCUCCAGCGAUUUGAGUUGUACUGUGGGCGAGAGCCUAUGGGAACCUCAUGACGUUGCCGG